CUGCAAACAUGUGGAUACCUGCACCAGCUGAGCAUCUAACUGGGAGGAGGCACGUGGGAACUGGAACUGGCAUUCCGGCUUCCUGACCUCUGAGGCGUCCACUGAAGUCCAGGGUCACGGAUGAAGAUGUGGGCGAUGUGAAUGUCCUAGUGUUCUGGAUCCACAGCAGCUCUCCCUCCUCCUCCUCCUUUUGGCCUGGUUCUCUCCACCUUGAAUCCCCAGGCUGCAGUAGAGAAGAAGUUGAUCUCUAUCGGAGCACACAGCCCCAGCGAAGACUUCCUAGAACAGAACAGGUAUCGGUUUCUUCUCCUAAAUUGUUACUCAGUAAUGUUGGGUGUCAAGAA